rnacentral:rRNA from 1 species
GAUAAACGCUGGCGGCGCACAUAAGACAUGCAAGUUGAACGGACUUAAUCGAAAUAUUUAUAUUUUGAAGCGGUUAGUGGCGGACUGGUGAGUAACGCGUAAGGAACCUGCCUAUUAGAGGGGAAUAACAGUGAGAAAUCAUUGCUAAUACCGCAUAUGCCAUAGAUAUCACAUGAUAACAGUGGGAAAGGAGCAAUCCGCUAAUAGAUGGCCUUGCGUCUGAUUAGAUAGUUGGUGGGGUAACGGCCUACCAAGUCGACGAUCAGUAGCCGGACUGAGAGGUUGCACGGCCACAUUGGGACUGAGAUACGGCCCAGACUCCUACGGGAGGCAGCAGUCGGGAAUAUUGCGCAAUGGAGGAAACUCUGACGCAGUGACGCCGCGUAUAGGAAGAAGGUUUUCGGAUUGUAAACUAUUGUCGUUAGGGAAGAGAAAGGACAGUACCUAAGGAGGAAGCUCCGGCUAACUACGUG